UACGUAGGGUGCCAGCGUUAUUAGGAAUCACUGGGCGUAAAGGGCGCGCAGGCGGUUUUGUAAAUCUAAAGUGAAAUCCUUGGGCUUAACCCAAGGGCUGCUUUAGAUACCGCAAAACUCGAGUUCGGGAAAAGCAAGCGGAAUUCCUGGUGAAGGGGUGAAAUCCGUAGAUAUCAGGAAGAACACCAGUGGCGAAAGCGGCUUGCUAGAACGCAACUGACGCUUAGGCGCGAAAGCGUCGGGAGCAACCAGG
rnacentral:rRNA from 1 species